UGUGUUUCGUAUUUGUAGUGGUAAAGAUAUGUCACGAUGUAGCCAAACGAUGAUUAGAUCCACUAGUGAUCCUCUUUCGCAUAACGGUUGCACGGUAGCGCGUCAUUAGUGACGGCAUGUAGCAGACUGUCACUUUCAAAACGCCGUCUCUCUGGGGAGAACUUCUUUUCAUGGAUAUUUUGAAAUCCGCAUCGAAAGAAGUAUGGCGUCUGGCGGUCGGAGGGGCGUCUGUGCAACGCAAAGAGUUGGUCAGGAGCAAACAGGCGAAGAAUCGUCAGAAAGUGAUGGAGAAACCGAACCAGCUAAAUCGUUCCAUCGCAGGCUAUCAACGAACAAAGAGAUCAAAUCAUCCCAAUACUGAGAGCCAGUUAUGUGUUGUGUGGCACUGUACUAUUUGAAAUUACGCCACUCACAGUCCUGAGCAUCAAAAAUAAAAGAUAAAACUUUUUGGAUUGCAUGCUUUUUUUGCUGUUAUUCUGAAAGGAAACCUGCACAUCAUAUGAAAACAAACAGCACUGUAGCUUCGUAAUAUACAAGGAAAGAUGAACGCAUAAUUUCAGUAAUUAAGUAUUGUUUUUGUAACCAAUCUUCACGCAGAAGACCCUACGUCACCAGCAAUUGUUAUUAUCGUGGAGCCCAUAUGAAAGUGAUGAAAAUAAACGGCGUUUGUGAAGCAAUUACUAUCGAUUCUGUCAAUUUUGAUAAGUAUGAGGGGAGAUACUCUCUCUGUGUCUUAGACUGAGAUUAAAUAUUUCUUGAUGAAACUAAGACUUAAGUGUUCACGUGCAGCCUACAUAAAUUGCAAAUAUUGACAGAUGUGUUAAAAUUUGAUACGAUUUCAUUGUAGUCUUUGACUGCUACUUUGUUUCUUCAAGCUGUAUGUUGUC